GGUGGGGGAAGCUCAUCAGUGGGGCCACAUGCUGAGUGUUCCUCACUCCCAGGCCCUGAGAAGGUCUGAGACUGGAACCUCCCGCCACCCUAACUGGGCCCUCUCCGAGGAGGGAGGUGAGUUCCCAGAGAGCAGGGUUCCACAUGUGGGCAGACUUUCAAGCUCGUGGGAGCUUGAAACAGACUCACUGCUGGGGUAGUCAAUAUUGGCAUAUAAGAGAAGCUCCAUGGCUCGUACAGAGGAGAGAGAGAGAUAGCAAGGGCCAUUUCCUUCAGUAGCUCUCUUGCUAAC
rnacentral:RNase_P_RNA from 2 species